rnacentral:rRNA from 1 species
CCUACGGGAGGCAGCAGUGAGGAAUAUUGGUCAAUGGACGAGAGUCUGAACCAGCCAAGUAGCGUGAAGGAUGACUGCCCUAUGGGUUGUAAACUUCUUUUAUAUGGGAAUAAAAUGUUCCACGUGUGGGAUUUUGUAUGUACCAUAUGAAUAAGGAUCGGCUAACUCCGUGCCAGCAGCCGCGGUAAUACGGAGGAUCCGAGCGUUAUCCGGAUUUAUUGGGUUUAAAGGGAGCGUAGGUGGAUUGUUAAGUCAGUUGUGAAAGUUUGCGGCUCAACCGUAAAAUUGCAGUUGAAACUGGCAGUCUUGAGUACAGUAGAGGUAGGCGGAAUUCGUGGUGUAGCGGUGAAAUGCUUAGAUAUCACGAAGAACUCCGAUUGCGAAGGCAGUUCACUGGACUGCAACUGACGCUGAGGCUCGAAAGUGUGGGUAUCAAACAGGAUUAGAUACCCGUGUAGUC